GGAAAUAUAUAUUUCUUAGCGGCGGACGGGUGAGUAACGCGUGAGGAACCUGCCUUGUACUAGGGGAUAGCCUCGGGAAACCGGGAUUAAUACCCUAUGAUACUUGAGGAUCGCAUGAUUUUCAAGUCAAAGCGAUUAAGCGGUAUAAGAUGGACUCGCGUCCCAUUAGCUAGUUGGUGAGGUAAUAGCUCACCAAGGCGACGAUGGGUAGCCGGCCUGAGAGGGUGAACGGCCACACUGGAACUGAGACACGGUCCAGACUCCUACGGGAGGCAGCAGUGGGGAAUAUUGCACAAUGGAGGGAACUCUGAUGCAGCGACGCCGCGUGAGCGAUGAAGGUUUUCGGAUCGUAAAGCUCUGUCCUAAGGGACGAUAAUGACGGUACCUUAGGAGGAAGCCCCGGCUAACUACGUGCCAGCAGCCGCGGUAAUACGUAGGGGGCGAGCGUUGUCCGGAUUUAUUGGGCGUAAAGGGUGCGUAGGCGGCCUUGUAAGUCAGAUGUGAAAUCUCACGGCUUAACCGUGGUAAGCAUUUGAAACUGUGAGGCUUGAGUACAGGAGAGGAGAGUGGAAUUCCUAGUGUAGCGGUGAAAUGCGUAGAUAUUAGGAGGAAUACCAGUGGCGAAGGCGACUCUCUGGACUGUAACUGACGCUGAGGCACGAAAGCGUGGGGAGCAAACAGGAUUAGAUACCCUGGUAGUCCACGCCGUAAACGAUGAGUGCUA
rnacentral:rRNA from 1 species